rnacentral:rRNA from 1 species
UCAGGCCUAACACAUGCAAGUCGAGCGGAAACGAGUUAUCUGAACCUUCGGGGAACGAUAACGGCGUCGAGCGGCGGACGGGUGAGUAAAGCCUAGGAAAUUGCCCUGAUGUGGGGGAUAACCAUUGGAAACGAUGGCUAAUACCGCAUGAUGCCUACGGGCCAAAGAGGGGGACCUUCGGGCCUCCCGCGUCAGGAUAUGCCUAGGUGGGAUUAGCUAGUUGGUGAGGUAAGGGCUCACCAAGGCGACGAUCCCUAGCUGGUCUGAGAGGAUGAUCAGCCACACUGGAACUGAGACACGGUCCAGACUCCUACGGGAGGCAGCAGUGGGGAAUAUUGCACAAUGGGCGCAAGCCUGAUGCAGCCAUGCCGCGUGUGUGAAGAAGGCCUUCGGGUUGUAAAGCACUUUCAGUCGUGAGGAAGGUGGUGUAGUUAAUAGCUGCAUUACUUGACGUUAGCGACAGAGGAAGCACCGGCUAACUCCGUGCCAGCAGCCGCGGUAAUACGGAGGGUGCGAGCGUUAAUCGGAAUUACUGGGCGUAAAGCGCAUGCAGGUGGUUUGUUAAGUCAGAUGUGAAAGCCCGGGGCUCAACCUCGGAAUAGCAUUUGAAACUGGCAGACUAGAGUACUGUAGAGGGGGGUAGAAUUUCA